CUAGGGGGCAUACCCGCCUACCAACCCCUAUCAAACUCCGAAUACCAUUCAAUAGAGCGCAGCAGUGAGACGGCGGGGGAUAAGCUUCGUCGUCGAGAGGGAAACAGCCCAGAUCAGCAGCUAAGGUGCCUAAAUUGUGCUCAGUGGAAAGGAGGUGAGGUUUCAUAGACAGUGAGGAUGUUGGCUUAGAAGCAGCCACCAUUUAAAAAAUGCGUAAUAGCUUACUCAUCGAGAGACCUUGCGCCGAAAAUACUUGGCGAUAAGCACAAUACCGAAGCUCUGGGUGUCCUAGUUUACUAGGGCGCGGUAGAGGAGCAUUCUCUGUGCAGUGAAGGGUGAUGGCGACUGACCCUGGAGCGCAGAGAAGUGAGAAUGCAGACAUGAGUAACGAUAAGAGCGGUGAAAUCCCGCUCCGCCGUAAAUCCAAGGUUUCCCGGGCAACGUUUUUCGUCCCGGGGUUAGUCGGGACCUAACCCGAGGCCGAUGGGCGUAGGGGAUGGUAAGCAGGUUAAUAUUCCUGCACCCAGUAAGGAGGACGCAUAAUGAAAAGCUACUAGGUUAUUGAAUUCCGAGGCGAGGCUUAGGCCGGACCGUAUAGCUGGACAGAGUGCCAAGAAAAGCCCUUACAUUAAUGGCCCGUACCGUAAACCGACACAGGUGGAUGGGUAGAAUAUACCAAGGCGCAAGAGUGAAACCUGGUCAAGGAACUCGGCAAAAUAGCCCCGUAACUUCGGAAGAAGGGGUGCCCCCUCUGGGGGGCCGCAGUGAAAUGGCCCAACCGACUGUUUAGCAAAAACACAGCAUUGUGCUAAGGCGUAAGCCGACGUAUACGAUGUGACACGUGACCAAUGCCAAAAGAUUACGGUAAGAUGUUAGCACUUUAGUGCGAAGCUUCGAGCCCAAGUCCUGGUGAAUGUCGGCCGUAACUAUAACGGUCCUAAGGUAGCGAAAUUCCUUGUCGGGUAAGUUCCGACCUGCACGAAUCGUGCAACGAGUUGGGCGCUGUCUCGACCAGGUGCUCAGUGAAAUUGUAGUUCCGGUGAAGAUGCCGGACACCCGCAGAAGGACGGAAAGACCCUAUAGACCUUAACUGUAAGCUGUUAUUGGUUGUUCGAUCUUAAUGCUCAGCAUAAGUGGGAGACAUUGAAGGGUGCGUUUAGGCGCAUCUGGAGUCAUCAGUGAGAUACCACCCUUUAAUAUUGGAUAAUCUAACCCCGAGCCGUCAUCCGGCCGUGGGGACAAUGGCAGCCGGUCAGUUUUACUGGGGCGGUAUCCUCCUAAAGAGUAACGGAGGAGCGCGAAGGUGGGCUCAGCACAGUUGGCAACUGUGUGUUGAGUGUAAAGGCACAAGCCCGCCUAACUGUGAGACCUACAAGUCGAGCAGAUACGAAAGUAGGCCUUAGUGAUCCGGCGGUAGAAUGUGGAAUUGCCGUCGCUCAACGGAUAAAAGGUACCUUAGGGAUAACAGGCUUAUCACGCCCAAGAGUUCAUAUCGACGGCGUGGUUUGGCACCUCGAUGUCGGCUCGUCGCAUCCUGGGGCUGGAGAAGGUCCCAAGGGUCCGGCUGUUCGCCGGUUAAAGCGGCACGCGAGCUGGGUUCAGAACGUCGCGAGACAGUUCGGUCCUCUAUCCUCUGUGGGCGUAGGAAAAUUGAAGGGUUCAGACCUUAGUACGAGAGGACCGGGUUUGACGCACCUCUGGUGUUCCAGUUGUUCUGUCAAGGGCACUGCUGGGUAGCUAAGUGCGGAACGGAUAAGCGCUGAAAGCAUCUAAGCGCCAAGCCAUUCCUGAGAUAAAUUUUCCCUGAAGGAUCGUGGAAGACGACCACGUUGAUAGGCUGGGGGUAGAAGUGCAGCAAUGUAUGUAGCUCACCAGUACUAAUCAUCCGUUCGACUUAAUUCC
rnacentral:rRNA from 1 species